AGCGACAUGGCUGCCGCCGGCCUGGGAGGAAGGCUUUUGACACUGCCGGCGGCAGCUCUCCCCAAGUCACCGUCACUUUCGCUACAGGCAGCAGCUCCCAUCCGCGGGAAGCCUAAGAAAUAUCUGGUCUAUCCGCAUCCACCGAAGAGCUCCCGCCUGUCCCCGUCGGUUCUGCGCUGGCUCCAGGGCCUGGAUCUCACCUUCUUUCCUAGGAACGUCAACAGGGAUUUUUCAAAUGGCUUCCUGAUUGCAGAAAUAUUCACUAUAUAUUACCCCAGGGACCUUAAAUUGUCAUCCUUUGAAAAUGGAACUUCUUUGAAAGUCAAGUUGGAUAACUGGGCACAGUUGGAGAAGUUCCUGGCAAGAAAAAGACUUAAAUUACCUAAAGAGCUAAUCCAUGGAACAAUUCAUUGCAAAGCUGGAGUACCUGAAAUACUAAUACAAGAGGUUUAUACUUUGCUAACGCAUCGAGAAAUUAAAAGUAUCCAGGGUGACCUCGUGAAUUUCACAGACUACAGUUACCAGAUGCGUCUGCCCCUGGUUCCUAGCUCCACAGCUUCCAAGUCGAUUAAAGAUAACAUUAGGUCAUCAGAGAUAAAAAGCAAUCCCAACACGCUCAGCAAUGAACUUAAAGUAGAAUUCCUCUUCCUUUUACAAAUGUUGCAAAGAAAAUUAAGGAGAAAACUGAAUCCCAAAUGGUUUGAGGUCAAACCAACAGUGGGAGAACUUACUCUUGACCACCUUCCGACCCAUGGCUCUCGGUGCAAAUAUAAUUCCAUGAUUUCAAGGGAAAGAGUUACUCCUGUUUUACUUUCACCUUCAGAUUCUGGGAACACAUCCUCUCCUUCAACCUGCCUCAACCUUCUUCCAGCACUGACGCCUGCAGGGAGAGCUCCAGCAGAAACAUUUCAAGGUCACAAAUGAGUUUUUAGAAAAAUAAUGCUCUCAUUUCGGAUCACAACUCCAAGGAGAGUGGAGUCCUGCUUUUACGACUGUAAUGACGUAGCAACUGCUGCACGUGACUUCUCCCCCAUUUUAUUCUCUCCAUGCUCUUCUACGAGUCCCCCUCACUUCAGCGGGCUUUCUCCAUCCUUUUCAAAGUGGGUGAUGGGCUAAGCGAGACAUCACCAGGACAGAUCAGGAUGGGAAGAAACAUGCUUUUCUCUCUCUACUUCUCCCAAUCCUAUUCCAGAAACUUGGAUCCUCUUAGUCUGGGCAUAACGGAAAUUAAUGAAUGGUGUGCGGCUGACUUUGGUGAUUACAUCGAUGAGAGCUGUUUUGCUAGAUUUUAUUUUUUCCAAAUUAAUUCAAGGGAUUCCAUCUCAGUUGUUUCUACUGAAAGAGCAGAGUCUUUAGGUCAGGUCAGCUAACAUAAUCGGAGCGAGUGGAAGAAGGGGAGCAGAGCCAGGCCGCAGGAAAUACAGGUACUGUUGGCAAUCCACUUAGAAGAAUUCAUGUCAAACAAGCUGGAAAAUAUUCUUUUGAAUCUGCUAUGAACC